rnacentral:rRNA from 1 species
GUAGGGGGGCAAACGUUGUCCGGAUUUAUUGGGCGUAAAGAGCUCGUAGGCGGGCUCAGCAAGUCGGCCGUGAAAACCCGGGGCUCAACCCCGGGACGCCGGUCGAAACUGCUGUGGCUAGGGUCCGGUAGAGGAGAGUGGAAUUCCCGGUGUAGCGGUGAAAUGCGCAGAUAUCGGGAGGAACACCAUUAGCGAAGGCGGCUCUCUGGGCCGGUACCGACGCUGAGGAGCGAAAGCUAGGGGAGCAAACAGGAUUAGAUACCCUGGUAGUCCUAGCCGUAAACGUUGGGUACUAGGCGUGGCGAAUUCAUUGACAUUUGCCGUGCCGAAGCUAACGCAUUAAGUACCCCGCCUGGGGAGUACGGUCGCAAAGGCUA